CCUACGGGGGGCAGCAGUGAGGAAUAUUGGUCAAUGGGCGAGAGCCUGAACCAGCCAAGUCGCGUGAGGGAGUACUGCCCUAUGGGUUGUAAACCUCUUUUGUCGGGGAGCAAAAGCCGGACGUGUCCGGCUGUGAGAGUACCCGCAGAAAAAGCAUCGGCUAACUCCGUGCCAGCAGCCGCGGUAAUACGGAGGAUGCGAGCGUUAUCCGGAUUUAUUGGGGUUAAAGGGUGCGCAGGCGGAUUUUUAAGUCAGCGGUCAAAUCGUGGGGCUCAACCCCAUCCAGCCGUUGAAACUGGGGAUCUAGAGUGUGCGAGAGGUAUGCGGAAUGCGUGGUGUAGCGGUGAAAUGCAUAGAUAUCACGCAGAACCCCGAUGGCGAAGGCAGCAUACCGGUGCACAACUGACGCUCAGGCACGAAAGCGUGGGUAUCGAACAGGAUUAGAUACCCUUGUAGUC
rnacentral:rRNA from 1 species